GACUGCAAUUUGCUAAUAAAAAAAUUAAAACUUCAAUAAAAAUACCACAUCUGGUAAAAGUGACAUGAUUGUGAUUAGUAAACCUGUGAUCCAUCCCAGUGCAUACUUCUGUAUCGAUUAUUUCCACUUUGAAAAGUUUCCUGUUCGUGCUCUUUCUUUGCAGUUAAAGAGAAACAUGAGAGACACAUUCUAGUAUUAGAAUCUCUUUUCCUGAAGGACGGACUGCUCUUGAAUUGUCCAAAUUUGUCAUAAAACUAAUUCAUUAUUCUGAGGUUACCUUUCAUUCUGCAAAUCGUGCAAGACAACAUUAGCUCUGAUCUUAGCAAAACAGCAACUAACCACUUCCUUUUUUUAUCAGCAGCUCCUCGUCAGAAACAUAAAGUUGGGGGUGAAGAUGAGGCCUGUUUCACUCUCUCACUGUCGGCCAUGAUAUUACAACUGAACCAAACAGCGCUGCUCUUCAUUCAGCUGUUAGUGAUGCUGCGUGUCUUUGCAGUGAAGCUUGAAGAAAACAACAGAGUUAUGUUGGCAUUCAGAGGAGAUCCAGUGACGCUGACUUGUAACAUAUCUGAAAAAAAUGCAACACAAAUCUCCUGGACAAACGGCAGAUCUGUUUUUCAAUAUUCUAUCCAGCUGAAUCGCACUUUUUCAAAUUUUUCAUCUAACAGACUAAAAAUAAAUCCCGAGUUACCUACAAAUCUGAUUAUUUUUAGUGCUCAACCAGAGGAUGAAGGACUUUAUACAUGUAGCAUAACUGGCCUAGAUGGCCUACACACCAUUACAUGGAAUUUAACUGUGUCUGGGAACCCAGAAGAAUCGAUUUCAUCAAAGUAUUUUACAUUCAUACUUCCAUCUGCAAUUGGAUUCCUUCUGUGUGGCAUCACACUGGCUGUCUUCUUCUACAGAUGCUGCACCAGGACCCCGAACCAGGACCUUCAUGAUAUCAGGACCUUGAGUUUUGUCCAUUAUCAUGUUCAGCUGGGAGGAAAGGUGGUCCCUCCACAACCUCAGAGUUUUGCAGUGUACAGGACAGGCAGCACACUGAGAGACUCAGUCCAUGUGGCCAUCUUGGGAGAUGGCCACAGUGUCACAAUUCCCACCUUGAAGUGA
rnacentral:lncRNA from 1 species